UGGGGAAUUUUGGACAAUGGGCGAAAGCCUGAUCCAGCAAUGCCGCGUGUGUGAAGAAGGCCUUCGGGUUGUAAAGCACUUUUGUCCGGAAAGAAAUCCUUGGCUCUAAUACAGUCGGGGGAUGACGGUACCGGAAGAAUAAGCACCGGCUAACUACGUGCCAGCAGCCGCGGUAAUACGUAGGGUGCAAGCGUUAAUCGGAAUUACUGGGCGUAAAGCGUGCGCAGGCGGUUUGCUAAGACCGAUGUGAAAUCCCCGGGCUCAACCUGGGAACUGCAUUGGUGACUGGCAGGCUAGAGUAUGGCAGAGGGGGGUAGAAUUCCGCGUGUAGCAGUGAAAUGCGUAGAGAUGUGGAGGAAUACCGAUGGCGAAGGCAGCCCCCUGGGCCAAUACUGACGCUCAUGCACGAAAGCGUGGGGAGCAAACAGGAUUAGAUACCCUGGUAGUCCACGCCCUAAACGAUGUCAAUUAGUUGUUGGGGAUUCAUUUCCUUAGUAACGUAGCUAACGCGUGAAGUUGACCGCCUGGGGAGUACGGUCGCAAGAUUAAAACUUAAAUGAAUUGACGGGGUCAUAGCUGUUUCCU
rnacentral:rRNA from 1 species